AUCCCCACUCUGGCAGCAUUUAUACAAAAAUUGGAACAAUAUGGAGAUUAGCAUGACUCCUACUUGAGAAUGACAGAAAAAUUCAUAAAGCAUUCUAUGUUUUC